rnacentral:misc_RNA from 1 species
AAAAGUUCAAGGUUUACCGCACAACAUACACAACCACACAGACUUAGCUCGUAUAGAGCUACACACAAUUACCAUAGAUGGAGAUUGAUUAAUUGUCUAGUGCAGACAUUAACCACUAAACACACAACAUCCUAAAUUGCAAUUAAUGCAAGAACAUUCUUGCAUCAAUUACUUAUUUAUUCUUUCAACGAAACACUACAACAGAUGGCCGGUCACCUCCACCGUAACAAUCCAAGCUCGGUCACUACUCACAGCAACGGUACAUCAGGUACUUGACCAUUUUACGAUCACAAAUUUCGCAUAUCAUCAUCUUAUCUGCGACCUUUUCAACGGUGGUGGGGAGGACAAUGUGAUAACAAUGGUGU